UCCAACAGCACUGGACCAAUCAGGAAAGAGAAGACACAGAGGACUGAGGAGACAGAAAAAAUAUCCUGCUGGAAAUCCAGAGAUUUAACAAGGGGAGACCUGAGGAUGUGUGCAGAAUAAAGAGACAGAAGUCAUGUGAAGUGGGUCCUCGUCAGUCUGUAAACCUCCACCUACACCACCACCAGUAAGGUGGAGGUAGAUAAGAGAACCAUGUUGACGAAAAAAUUGACCAACAAUUAAAGAAGAAGACCUGCUGCAGCUGCUGAUCUACUGGUUGUAACAGAUUGUGGAAAAGCAUCAAUGAGACAAGACAACAGCACUGGACCAAUCAGGAGACAGAAGACACAGAGGACUGAGGAGACACAGAAAAUCCUGCUGGAAAUCCAGACAUGACGUUUCCUGAUGCAGCAGACGAACACCUAAUGACACAGAAUAAAGAAGGACCAUGUGAAAUUAAGGUUGAGAAGAUAAUGAUUUGAUCAGAAACUGUGGCCGACAACUGCAAACGCGCAGCAAGCAGGAAAACGAGCUGCAAACAGACUCAUGAAGAGGAUGGUCAGAGUUGUCCAUAGCUUUCUUGACUCUUUUGAAGAAUCCUUCUUUGCAUCAUCUCCAGAGGUUCCACAGUCGUCUCCAGAACAAAUCCAGCCUUCUUCAUCAGAUUGUUGAGCCCUUUGAGGUUCCUGGCUCUGAUGCUGCUGCACCAGCAGAUGAUAGCAGAAGAGAUGAUCCUCUUAACAGCAGACUUGUAGAUCUGUAGCAUCGUGCUGCAAACCUUGAAGGAUGUUAGCUUCCUUGACAAGGGCAGUCUGCUCUGUCUCCUUUUUAGAUGGCUUCACUGUUGCGUUUCCAGUCCAGUCUGUUGUCAAGGUGAUUGCUGAGGUAUUUAUAUUCCUGAACCACCUCCACAUCUUCUCCCAUGAUGGAAAUAGGGUUCCACCAGAUCUCUGUACUCAGCCUCUUGUCUUUCUCUGAUACACACAACAACUGCAGAGUCAUCUGAGUAUUUCUGUAGAUGACAGAAGUUGGACUUGUGUUGGAAGUCAGAAGUGUAGAGAGUGAUGAGGAGUGAUGAGAGUACAGAGCCCUGUGGUGCUCCUGUGUUACUGACCACCUGGUUGGACACACAGUCCUUCAGUCUCACAACCUGUGGUCUGUCAGGUAGUCACAGAUGCAGGUGAUUGUUGAGGCCUCCACCUGCGUCUUCUGGAGUUUCUAACAGAGCAAUCAGGCCUGCCUGCUUUGUCCAGAUGACUGUGGGUUUGUUGAAGCAGGUGUCUGAUGGCAUCAUCAACUCCAACUCCACAACGAUGAGCAAACAGCAGGGGGUCCUGAUAUGAGCUCGUCUGCUUUCUCAAGUGGGCCUCCAGGAGUCUCUCCAGGACCUUCAUGAUGUGGGUUGUCAGGGCAACAGGUCUAUAGUCGUUGAUGACUGAUGGAUGACUUUUCUUCGGUACCGGAACCUGGCAGGAUGUCUUCCACAACAACGGAACCUCCUCUUGGGUCAGGCUAAGGUUGAAGAGAUGCUGCCGAAUCCCACAGAGGGACUCUGGGACUGACACCAUCUGGACCUGCAGCCUUGUUCAGCGUCUCCAGCUCCCUCUUCACUUCUAGAUACAGAAAAGUUGGAGGUGGAGGCAAAGGGAGCAGCAGCGUCUCCUAAUGUUGUUGAAGACAAACUUGUGGAAGCAUAAGAGUCCAUGACUGAGGUGGAAGAUGGAACAUCUGAGGUUUGACAGGAAAGCUGUGGGUCAGAGGAGGAUCAGAUAUCAGUUUGGCUGGAGACAGGAGAGGAGGAUGAUGAUGAUGAUGAUGAGCUUGUUCCUGGACUGAACCUGUUCAAGAAUGAGUUCAGCUCAUUUGCUAUGUCCAGAAAUUAAUUUUUGUUAAAAAUUUUUUUUUUUAAGUCAUGAUGGAAUGUUUUUAUGUAAUAAUGUGUAUUUAAUGUUUGGAAUGAAGAAGAUAUGUUGCAUAAUCUGAUGUCAUUAUAAUAGAGUAUUGUGGCUCAGUGCAAAAACACACAUUUUGUUAGUUUCUGAAGAGUAAAAACUAAACAAAUGUAUACACUUCAAGUUUAAGUUUAUAUUUCUCAGUCAUCGCAAUGCUAAAGAAAAUUCUCACAACAAUGUGAAAAUCAUGGUAAUUAUUUACAAGACAAGAAGCGGGAGGAAGAUACUAAAAAAUGUAAUAGAUUUCACAGUGUCAGGUUAUUUCUAUGUAUUAUGAUGUAAUGAUACAUGUAUUUUUGGAGUUAUUGUUUUCCGUUUUAUACUUGUGUGUAACUUUCUCUUGAUUUAUGAAAGCCUGGAAAGUAAUUAAGCUGAUCGUAGAGUAAAAUAACAUUAAGUUGUAAGCAAAUUCAAUAAAAGCUUGUGUAGGUUUAUCA